rnacentral:lncRNA from 1 species
CUUCGCCUGGCCUCACUGGGCUCAGAAACCAACAAGAAAUAUAGCAAUGUUUCCAUCCUGCUUACUGAACAGAUUAAUUUAUAUCUUAAAAUGGAAAAAAAGCCAAAUAAGAAAGAACAGCUCACCCUGGUAAACAAUGUACUGAAGUUGUCCACCAAGUUGUUAAAGGUAAGCGGCCUCACCGCCCUCUCCAGGGUGAGUUCCAUAGUCCUUAGAGGAUGAAGGAAGUCAUGGCCAGAACUGUCAGAAGCUUCCAGGAACAAGGUAGGGAGAGUGGCUUCCAUUACCAUGUUGGGCUGCCUAGUCAGAAAGAGACCUUGUUUCUUCUGGAGGAGGCUGGAAGAUCACUGGCUUAUUCUUGAGGAUGUCCAGUUUAACCAAGGAAAAGCAGACCUCUGAUGGCCCAUGGACAGGGUUUUGUCUGGAUGUUAGUGCUUAGACCUGCUGAGGGGACCGUCAGCACAGCCAGGCUUCCUGACAUUUGUGUCAUGCCCACACAUCUCAGGUCAGGGAUGAUGCUGGAGGUACAGAUGUUCAAGCCUUACAUUCCCUGUACCCCAUGAUUGCCUCCUGUCAUUGGUGUCUUCAGGCCUGUUCCCAGCGGCACUGAUAUCCUAGUGCUACUGGGCCUGAGAAGCUGCUGCUUGUCUCACUCAUUGUAGUUGCUUAGGCUGGAGGUCCCUGAGGCUCUGGAAGUCUCCAGAAGGCUGCCUAUCAUGCCGAGCCCAAGGCCUUCAGCCUUUUUAUCUCUGGCU